AGGCAAAGAUUGUGUUCUUCCUUCCAAAAUCUGAUUCCUUACUUGAAAAGCCUACAGGAUAAACAGGCUGGUAACCAUGUGAUUGGACAUUCACAUUGAGUCUUAACCCCCAAGCACACGUCCUCAUUGUCUGCAGCCAGAUUUUUCUGUCUCAAUCCUGAUUUUUGUUCUAGCUUCAAAAAUGUCUUCAGCUGCUCUAGACUCUAAGGCCAGUACAACGUGAGGCAGAACCAAAUCAAAUACCAGAAGUAUUCAGAUGGGAAAUGUGUUGAAGUGAUGAAGCAGUUGGGGAAGUCAUUGCAGUGGUUUAGAGAGGCUCAAGCUAUAUUUCAAGAAUAAAACACAAUUUGGAAUGUGGAAACAGCUUCGUUGUCAAUAUUAGACUUUGGAAGUAGAUGGGAAGCACUUAGUAGACUGUUGGGACUUGGAAUGAAUUCUAAGAGACCGGUUGGUCAGUUGAAGUCAACAAUAUUCACUUCUAAUAAUUAUAUUAGUUUUUCCUAGGUAACACACCUGGAGCUGUGCACAUAUUUUUCCUGGCAAAGUUACUUUUUUGUGUUUUUAAAGAAGGAAGGAAGAGGUUCACCCGCUGAUCCCUCAGGAUUGCUUCCUAAUGACUUUAGAGCAAAGUACCCUCUCUAACGGAGGACGAGAUGGCUCCCAAGAAACGCCCAGAAACCAAGAAGACCUCCGAGAUUGUAUUACGCCCCAGGAACAAGAGAAGCAGGAGUCCCCGGGAGCUGGAGCCCAAGGCCAAGAAGCUCUGUGCGAAGGGCUGCGGUCCUACCAGAAGAUGUGACUCAGACUGCCUCUGGGCGGGGCUGGCUGGCCCACAGAUCCUGCCACCAUGCCGAAGCAUCGUCAGGACCCUCCACCAGCAUAAGCUGGGCAGAGCUUCCUGGCCAUCUGUCCAGCAGGGUCUCCAGCAGUCCUUUUGGCACACUCUGGAUUCUUACCGGAUAUUACAAAAAGCCGCCCCUUUUGACAGGAGGGUUACAUCCUUGGCAUGGCACCCAACUCACCCCAGCACCAUGGCUGUGGGUUCCAAAGGGGGAGAUAUCAUGCUCUGGAAUUUUGGCAUCAAGGGCAAACCCACCUUCAUCAAAGGGGCAGCCUGGUAUCCUCAAUACAACCUCAUUGUCGUUGGCCGAUACCAAGAUCCUCAUUUCAAAAGUUGUACUUCUGUGAAUUGAGGACGAUCAAUGUGUUCAAUGGAAACUCAGGGAAGAUGAUGUGUUAGCUCUAGGGCCCAGAAUCUUCUGGCAUUAGUUCGCUCAAUGAGUUCAAUCCCAUGGGUGACAUACUGGCCUCUGCAAUGGGUUACCACCUUCUCAUUUGGAGCCAGGAGGAAGCCAGGACACAGAAAUGAGAGACACUAAAGAAGAUGUGGCCAAACAAGGCCUUGGAGCCCACACAUGAGGUCAAGUCCUACGAGAAGAGGUGGCAAUUUGUUAAAGGGCCUGAAGUAUCCACAUGUAGGGUUGGAGCAGGGUGCUGGGGCCUGAGGCACUGUGGGACUGGGAUGCUGUCAUGUUACUGCUCUGGACUGCUCCAGAGUUGGUGAUGCAGCUGCUGCAAGGGUCCCUCUGUAUCUAUCCUGGAAUCAAGCUUCUCUUGGAACUAAAUGACUUUUCUCCUCUCGGUGUGUGGUAGCAGAGGGAUCAAGCAGUGAUUUGAUUUGUGCUCACUUUUGAUAUGGCCAAUAAAACCAUACCCGACUGA